CUGGCGGCAAGCCUAACACAUGCAAGUCGAACGAACAAUUCCUAAAUAGUCUCUGACUAUUUAGAUAGUUGUUAGUGGCAGACGGGUGAGUAAUGCGUAGGAAUCUACCUAGUAGUAUGGAAUAGCCAUUAGAAAUGAUGGGUAAUACUGUAUAAUCCCUGCGGGGGAAAGAUUUAUCGCUAUUAGAUGAGCCUACGUUAGAUUAGCUAGUUGGUAAGGUAAUGGCUUACCAAGGCUAUGAUCUAUAGCUGGUCUGAGAGGACGAUCAGCCACACUGGAACUGAGAUACGGUCCAGACUCCUACGGGAGGCAGCAGUGGGGAAUAUUGGACAAUGGGCGAAAGCCUGAUCCAGCUAUGCCGCGUGAGUGAAGAAGGCCUUCGGGUUGUAAAGCUCUUUC
rnacentral:rRNA from 1 species